GAUCUUUUAUGAAAAACUGAAUAAUACAUGAUGCAAAUGACUAAUAGGUGAUUCAUGAAUCAAUACUGAUGACAAAGAAAACAACACCGGCUGCUUACAAACACUUUAAUUUUCAGGCGUUAGAAAUGAAAGAUGUGGAUGUCACAGAGCAAACACAAGGCCAGUUAAAUGGUUAUUUCUGGUCACUUGAGGCUGUUUUCCUUUUCUCCAUCCCUCUGGUGGCUCAGCGGCGGUGGAUGUUUUGGAUGCGCUCCCUCCCCGAGCGUCUCUCCGGUUGUGACUCACCACUCCGGGCUGGAGGGCCGGCCCCUCCUCCGGAUGACAUCACAGGGAUGGAAAUAGCAGCGGCAUUAAAGCCUCCUGUUAUGGGAGCCUGCUGCUGAGAGCCCCCGCGACCCCGGGGCGGCCACUUCAGCCCAAAGGGGGCGGCGGGGAAGGCGGAGGAGAUAAUGAAGUAAAGCGAGAGCAACAAGUCGGAGGCGAUGCUAACGCAGAAAACGCCCUGGAUGUGCACCAAGUCUGAGUUUAUUUAAGGUAGCGUAAUUAUAGAGCAAAGAAAUUUACAUACAAAGAAAUUUAAAACAGAAGCAAACCAAGGAGGAACAGUAGUGAAGCAUAACAGCCAUCUUGGUUGGCAGUUGUUAUGGAGUUGCUAUGACAACAGCAAAAAAGCCACAUCCUAGCUCCGGGCUCGUUCCUUUCGAACUUAUAAACAGUAUAAGUACAUUACAACUAUUACUGAAUCAAAUUUUUUGAGGUGUGUUAAACACUAUUACACCUCUGUGUAAUACUGGGAUAAAUAUCAGUGAUAUUUAUUGUAGCACUUACUGCCGAACUAGCAAAAUUAGUUUAGCUAAUGUAGCUUUUACCUGCUAGCUAAGCUAAGACAUGUAGCCUGGCGACAUGUACUUUUCUUGACACAUUUUAUUAAACUUCUCAGUGCUAGAUUCAGAGUUGGGUCCAAUUACAUUUACUCAAUUAUAUUUAUUUGAGUAACUUUUUUUGGGGAAAAAAUUUUUUCGACUAUUUUAACUGUGCUGUACUUUUUACUUUUGCUUCAGUCUUAUUUUCUACCCUCUGAAUGAAGAACAAUCAGAAAAUCACAUGCAGUUUUUGUCAAGGUUUCAAGAGUUAUUUAAAGCUGUCUGUGUUAAUAGAGUGUGAGCUGAAGAAAUCAGGCGGUACGGUCGCUCCGGACACCUGAGCCAAGUCACAACCAGCGUCCAAGCCGAGAGACGCUCGUACUUCAGCAUCGCCACAGAAGUAGGUCAUCAGGAGUGUUAAAAUAACUGCUUCCUGUCCGUCCUCUGCAGCCAUCACAACAACAUCAGCUAACCUCGCCUCGCUCUGCACACCAAGUAAAGAUCUGCAGAAAUAAUCGCACACCAGAUGAUGCUUUAAAACAGGACAGACCAGAAUAGUCGACGCAUGCAGUUGUUGACAGGAAAGUCUGCAGGUGUUCAACAGCAGCAAAUAUUCACACAAAAUGAAAAUCUGCUCCUACUGUGCUGCGGCACAAAUCACAGAUGACAUUAAUGCCUUUUAAAGAAAAGCAUCAGUCCUCGCCAACCGACACCGAGAA